rnacentral:lncRNA from 1 species
GGGAAACCUAGAUACUGAAGCCAUGUUCGCUCUAUAUGCCACAGCUCUCCUCUGCUUCCUGUCUUCGAGCCAAUCAGCUCCUGCUGGUGCUCUAACCUGUGAGGACCUCCUUAAGCCCAUGGAUCCACCACGACUCAACCAUGUUUGCUCUCAAGCCAAUCAGCUCCUGCUGCAGCUCUAGCCUGUGAGGACCUCCUUAAGCCUAUGGAUCCACCACGACUAGACCAGCAGCUCUUGAGGAAAUGGGCCCUCGUCGCAGGCAGCCUGAGCCACCCUGCAUCCCUGGAGGCUCUCAAGACCAGAGACGGCAUCACCAUGGAGUUUUCACCCUCUACCCCCAACACCACCCAGAACUCCAACACCACCACAACCGUCCACUACACCCAGACUAACCGUUUCGGCAUCCGAUGCGAGUAUCUAACCUACAAUAUCUCACUCCUCAACGACAACAGCACCUUCCGGUUCGACGUGGGGGGCCGAUUCAACCUCACUGGGGUCUUCCUGGAGACCUCCUGCCCAGACUGUCUGGUGAUGAAGUGGGAGGUGAUGUCCAGGAGGAGGGAGUCCACGGACCUGUACCUGCUGAGGAAGGUGGAGGGCGGGAGAGAGGUGGAGGAAGAGGAGAUGGAGGAGUUCAGGAAACAGGUGGAGUGUUUGGGGCUGCCUCCGCCAGUGGUGAUGGAGCCGGGGAAUGUCCUCUGUGGUUUCUAUCAGCUCCUCUGGAAAGACUGAGGAGAAGGAGAAGAAGAAGCUCGAUCAGUGUGAUCAGAGAGUGGGGGCCGUGAGACAGAUGUAGAGACCCGUUUUCUGUCAUCUGUUUUGGAAUCCAACAAUUCUGUGUUUUACCGUUUGUCGAAGACCUGUAGAAUUUUGAAUAAAAGAUGCACGGUUUGUCAUGUUAUUCUGUCUUCUUGGCUUCUUUAACAGAUUUAAUUACGUUCACAGAGAGAUUUAAUGUCCAAGAGCUUAAGCUAAUUCACAGAGACGGUGGGAUCCAGCAGGAAUGUCGGGACGUCAUUAGGACCGCUCCAAACUCUUCACAAUGGGAAGGAAAAGUCUUUUAUAAUUGGAUUACUUUUGUAUAAUUUGGCAUAACCUCAUUUGUCCAUGCAUUAAAGUGCUCA